UUUGAAGUGAACGAUUUGUAACAAAGGAUUAUUGUUGCUGCAGCUCCGUUUUGCACAGAUCAUUUGUGCUCGAGCGUUCUGUUGGUCGGUGUGUGUGUGUGUGUGUGUGUGUUGCUCUGUAAAUCAUUGUAGUUAGAGUGUUUAGCUACUUAGAUUUACUCUGUUUAUUCACCCCUUAUGUGCAUAAAUAUGGCCACUACAAGGCAGCAAGAAAAAAAAAAUCUGUUUGUAGAGCAAUGUUCAUGUUGAAUAUGAGCACUGAGCCGUUUUAGCUCUCAGAAGUACAGACAUUUAUUUUCCUAAAUGUAAGUGAUAAAUGUAUCCUCUGGGACUUCCAUAGUAUUUAGGUUAUACCCAUAUUCUUCAUAAUCUUCUUUUGUGUUCAGCAGAAGAAAGAAAUUCAUACAGGUUUGGAACAACUUAAGGGUGAGUAAGUGAUGACAAUUUUCAUUUUUGCAUGAACUAUCCCUUUAAUAUAAAAUAAUAUAUAGUGGUUGUAACAGUACACAAUUAGUAUCCAUAAUAUGGCAUAAAUUCAACGAAAAUUAGCUUGCAGUAACAAAUAUUUGUGGUAAAAUUAUUUCGCAUGAUUGUUAAAUUGUGAAUGCUUAAAUAAAUGGGUUCAAAUUUCAUAAAUAGGCCUCAUCAUUUCUCAUAAUUACAAAUUGUAUUGUACAAUAGUGUUUUGUUUUUUUUCUCUAUUUUGUUCAUUGAUAAAAACUGUCAUCUGUGGCUGUUUUAAUUGACUCAAAUUAUUCUGAUACACUCUGGUUUGACCUGAACUUUCCUAAAUAUGAGAGCUGUGAAUAAUAAGAGUGUUUGCUAAUCUUUGUUCAUGAGUGUAACUCGAGAGAAGCACAGCGCUUCCUUCCUGACCCCCUGCCUUCUUUGGGAUUGAUUCUCAGGAAGAGAGGGGUGUGAAAAUGUAACGUCGAUGUCCCUACAAUAACAGGCUGGCAGACUGUAAAAGAAUGCAACACACACUUCUCCCAGACAGCCUGUAGAAUUCAACCAAUCAGAUGACGACUUUGAAAAUCCUGAAGUGUUUCCAGUUAAGCGUGCCAUAUGCAUCAGACGUUCAGCCAACAGUACGUGGGUGUGACGUCCGAGGCUGUGACUAGUCCACUGGUAGGGUACAUAUUUUCCGGCUAUCCAUGUUUUCACUGUUAUGCGGUAGGUGGUGCUAUUACGCAUCUUCUGAAAUAGUACAGAAUCUCCGGAUCAAAACAAGGAUGAUGAAGAAGCAGAAACAAGUGAUAGAAUAUUGCUUAAGCAAAUGUAAAAUAACACGAUCAUCAAACAUUAAACAGCAUAUUAGUUUAAAACUGCCUAAUGUUAUUGAAUGAAAUGUUGACCCAGGAAGAGUUAAAGGGAUAGUUGACAUAGUCUUUGACAAAAAUGCGAUUUUCUAAGCCUUUUCUUUAAAAUGUUGCUUUUUAAAAAAUUUAAACUUACUGUUGAUAAAAAAGGAUGCAUGAAGCAAGUAUAUUGUUUUUAAAUGGAAAGAGUUAAAGUACAAUUAAUUUCAAGUAUAAAAAAUUAAUACCUAAAUAGGAACAUAGUAGUAUACUGAAAGGUGGACUCAGUAGAAUUUCAAAUACACUGUUUGGAAGUUAGUUGGGCCAACACCAACAACAAACGUCUAACCAAUCUGUCUAGGAGACAGAACGAGCAAGAGGGAGAUUUGAAAAUAAUAAGAAAAAAAACUGCAGAACGAGAGAUGGGACACAACACAAAAAAAGCUCAAAAGAAUAUCACUGGAAUGAAGGUUUAUUUCUGGGCAAGCGCUUUAGGACCGCGUUUAUAUUAGAAAAGCUUUCCAGCGCUGGAGAGAGCUAAGUGGGAAGGCCUGAAAACAGACUUGGAGGCUGCUUUGAUUCCUUCUUAUGUGAGUAACACUGGGUUUAGAUUGUCUGGAGCUGCUGUGCUGUUGGCGACUAACAACGAACGCUUUGUAUUUACUCUUGUGUACUGUGCGUUCAUUCUUUGUGCUUCCUUGUUGUUCGUUCAUCAACUGCGCUUUAUUUUUCGUGAAGCAUUUUGUUGCGCGUGUCAGCUGUGAUAAACAGACAUCCACUCUCACUGUGUGUGUAACAGUGGUCAGAUAGUGAGAGUUUUGCAGUUAAACAACUGCACACUGACAACCGUUAGAGAAUGUGGUGUUUAGUGUCAUUGAUCGUGCAUUUGCCUCGCGUGCCAGCGGCGAUCGGGCCGGGGUUCGGGACUGACUCGGAGCAGGAGGUUGGGAUUGGAGUGUGAGUUUUGGAGGCGAAGCAAUGAAGAGAGGGGUGGGUUUUUUUGGGUUGAUUUCAAAUAUCAGCGUUGUUAAAAAUCUACUUACCGCACCUUUAAAGUGCAAAAAUAAUAUAUAAAUAGUAAACUAUAAUGGUCACUUAAAGAAAACUUACAGGUAUACUUGCAGUAUAAAACUACUAGUAGUUGAGAGUAUACUUCAAAGUGUACUUUCAUAAAAUAACUUGUCAAAUACUUGUUGCACAUUUAACAGUAAACCUAUAAGUUCACUUGUAGCACAGUUGCAGUACAAAAAAAAACAAAAAAACAACUUAGUUGUAAACUAGUUGUGUACUCAAAGUUUACUACUGUUACACUUAAAAGUAUACUGUUACCCACUAAAAAGUGGGCCAAUUUAGUCCAAGCAGUAUUGAAACUGUAAGGGAGGUUAGAUUUUAGGAAAUGUCUGCAGCAGCGGCGUCUAUAAGAGUCCAGUAACACAAUAUCAUAUGACCACUUUAAUCGCCCACUGAAGCAGGUAGAGCAAAGAUAAGCAGAGAGGACAUCAUGUGAAUAUGGGAGGGUAGUGAUGUUACAUAUGACACUGAAGCUCAUAGGCGUGGGAAGUGGGACAGUAAAUUUUUCACAGGACAGUUAAUGCAACGCAAAUUUUUGCUCAGUUACGUUUAUUCAUUUUUAUCAUUUAAUAAUUUGUUUGUAAUAAACACUUUAAAUGGGCUAUAAAAAUGUUGUUGUUGUGUUUUUUUUUUAAGAACAACUAAGAUCUAAUAAAAACGCUUUACAGGCUCAAGCAUAGGCAGAAUUUCCAAUAACGUGUUUUGCAGCGUUGAUCACAGACAAAUGUGUUGAUUUCUGGAACGCAGUGAGAUGUUAGGAUCCACUCACCGCUCAAAACGCCGGAGUUUUUGUUCAGCGCUGAAUGCUUUGCAUGCUGGCAAAUCCUGAUUAAAAAGUGUAGACAUUAUUAUUAAAGAAUCAUUGUGCAGUUAUUGAAGCGUUAUGAGAUCGCGACGAACUUCUUCAUCUUUUUUUUACUCAUCUUUUUAGUGAUUAUAAAGGAACGCUCGUUGCGCGCAUUCUGCCAUGCCAAUCAUGCACGCAGCACUGCAUUUGCUUGCUUUAAUGUUUCUGAAUGUUGUUGAUACUUUAAUAACAAAUAUUAUAAUGUAUCACCGUUUAUGCUGGGAUCUGUAGGUGGCUAGGCGACGCCUAGUUUGUCAAACGCUGCGGCUUAUGUAUUUCCGUGUGCAGUCAAAUGUCCUGGGCUGCGUUCAGCCCCGACAAAACGUUGCAAAACGUUUUUUAAACGGAAACGGUGGUGCGUUGAACACCCUGUUCUGAUGACGCAAGAGUUGCAGCUAUGGCAGCUGAGAAAUUCUUUGUGUUCUUUUUGAAGAAUUUUCGGAGUCUGAUGAAAUCGGUGUAAAUACGUGCGGUCAAGCCAGCCGCCACCGCGAAAUGCACGGUCACUCUAGGCCGCCACUAUAUUUUGCGGUUCGCGCAUACACUGGCUAUUCAGAGAACUGAUCUUAAAACAAGUAAUCUUCUGUCAAAGCGAUUUCACAUUCAUUUAUUCAGUCAGUCUGUCUGAAUAAAUGAAAAUAACUAAAUAAAUACAUAUUUUACAGCCCAAUUUCACCUGAAAAUGAUAGUACACCUCACAGCCUGUCACUGUAUGAUAUGCUGAAAUCCAAAAUAAAUGUCUGCCUGAAUAAUAAUAAUAAAAACAGGCCUAAAUAAAUAAAUAUAAAUGAAAAAUAUAUAUAUUUCACAGCCCAAUUUCACCUGAAAAUGAUAGUACACCUCGGACGCUGUCACUGUAUGAUAUGCUGAAUUCCAAAACAAAAGUCUCCGAGUAAAUGGAAAAAAAGGCCUAAAUAAAUAAAAAUUUAACAGGCCAAAGUCACCUGAAAAUGAUAGUACACCUCACAGUUUGACACUGUCUGCUGCUAAAUUCCAAAAUAAAAGCCCUCCAACACUCAUGUAUACAAUGUUUUGUCCAUACAUACCAAAACUAAGAAAAGUCCUAGUUUCCACAGACCAAAUUCACCUCAGAUGGACAGUACACCUUCUUACGGUGUCAACUACACUGUUUCAGGACAUUCUGAUGUUGUAUUCCAAAAUAAAAGCCCCUCAAACUUCAUAUCUAUGCACUGUUUUGUCUAUACAUUCAAAAAAAUCAUAAAAAGAAAAGUCCUAGUUUUCACAGACCAAUUUCACCUCAGAUGGAGAGUACACCUUCUCACGGUGUCAACUACAUCGUUUCAGGACAUUCUGAUGUUGUGUUCCAAAAUAAGAGCCCCCAAAAACUCAUGUUUCGGCUGUUUUGUCUACACAUUCAGAAAAUCAUAAAAAGAAAAGUUCUAGCUUCCACAAACCAAAUUCACCUCAGAUGGAGAGUACACCUUCUCACGGUGUCAACUACAUCGUUUCAAGACAUUCUGAUGUUAUAUUCCAAAAUAAAAGCCCCCCAAAUCUCGUGUUUCAGCUGUUUUGACUGUACAUUCAGAAAAUCAUAAAAAGAAAAGUCCUGGUUUCCACAAAACAAAUUCACCUCAGAUAGAGAGUACACCUUCUCAAGGUGUCAACUACACAGUUUCAGAACAUUCUGAUGUUGUAUUCCAAAAUAAAAGGCCCCCAAACUUCAAAUAUACACUGUUUUAUCUAUACAUUCAGAAAAUCAUAAAAAGAAAAGUUCUAGUUUUCACAGACCAGUUUAACCUCAGAUGGACAGUACACCUGCUCACGGUGUCAACUACAUCGUUUCAGGACAUUCUGAUGUUGUAUUCCAAAAUAAAAGCCCCCCAAACUUCAAUUAUAUGCUGUUUUGUCUAUACAUUCAGAAAAUCAUAAAAAGAAAAGUUCUAGUUUCCACAAACCAAAUUCACCUCAGAUGGACAGUACAGAUUAGAAUGACCGUACAUUUCGCGGUGGCAGCUGGCUUGACCGCAGU